rnacentral:rRNA from 1 species
UACGGAGGGGGCUAGCGUUGUUCGGAAUUACUGGGCGUAAAGCGCACGUAGGCGGACUGUUAAGUCGGGGGUGAAAUCCUGGGGCUCAACCUCAGAAUUGCCUCCGAUACUGGCAGUCUCGAGUGCGGGAGAGGUGAGUGGAAUUCCCAGUGUGAGAGGUGAAAUUCGUAGAUAUUGGGAAGAACACCGGUGGCGAAGGCGGCGUAUACUGGACCG